rfam:Schistosoma mattheei strain Denwood, Zambia genome assembly, scaffold: SMTD_scaffold0011049
AUUCAGCUGACGAGUUGCAAGCGAGACGAAACAUGCGUCAAACUGGAU